GGGUUGUGAGGUUAAGCGACUAAGCGUACACGGUGGAUGCCCUGGCAGUCAGAGGCGAUGAAGGGCGUGCUAAUCUGCGAUAAGCGCCGGUAAGGUGAUAUGAACCGUUAUAACCGGCGAUACCCGAAUGGGGAAACCCAGUGUGACUCGUCACACUAUCAUUAACUGAAUCCAUAGGUUAAUGAGGCGAACCGGGGGAACUGAAACAUCUAAGUACCCCGAGGAAAAGAAAUCAACCGAGAUUCCCCCAGUAGCGGCGAGCGAACGGGGAGGAGCCCAGAGCCUGAAUCAGCAUGUGUGUUAGUGGAAGCGUCUGGAAAGGCGCGCGAUACAGGGUGACAGCCCCGUACACAAAAGCGCAUGUGCUGUGAGCUCGAUGAGUAGGGCGGGACACGUGGUAUCCUGUCUGAAUAUGGGGGACCAUCCUCCAAGGCUAAAUACUCCUGACUGACCGAUAGUGAACCAGUACCGUGAGGGAAAGGCGAAAAGAACCCCGGCGAGGGGAGUGAAAAAGAACCUGAAACCGUGUACGUACAAGCAGUGGGAGCACAGGUUUACCUGUGUGACUGCGUACCUUUUGUAUAAUGGGUCAGCGACUUAUAUUCUGUAGCAAGGUUAACCGUAUAGGGGAGCCGUAGGGAAACCGAGUCUUAACCGGGCGUUAAGUUGCAGGGUAUAGACCCGAAACCCGGUGAUCUAGCCAUGGGCAGGUUGAAGGUUGGGUAACACUAACUGGAGGACCGAACCGACUAAUGUUGAAAAAUUAGCGGAUGACCUGUGGCUGGGGGUGAAAGGCCAAUCAAACCGGGAGAUAGCUGGUUCUCCCCGAAAGCUAUUUAGGUAGCGCCUCGUGAAUUCAUCUCCGGGGGUAGAGCACUGUUUCGGCUAGGGGGCCAUCCCGGCUUACCAACCCGAUGCAAACUGCGAAUACCGGAGAAUGUUAUCACGGGAGACACACGGCGGGUGCUAACGUCCGUCGUGAAGAGGGAAACAACCCAGACCGCCAGCUAAGGUCCCAAAGUCAUGGUUAAGUGGGAAACGAUGUGGGAAGGCCCAGACAGCCAGGAUGUUGGCUUAGAAGCAGCCAUCAUUUAAAGAAAGCGUAAUAGCUCACUGGUCGAGUCGGCCUGCGCGGAAGAUGUAACGGGGCUAAACCAUGCACCGAAGCUGCGGCAGCGACGCUGAUGCGUUGUUGGGUAGGGGAGCGUUCUGUAAGCCUGUGAAGGUGGCCUGUGAGGGUUGCUGGAGGUAUCAGAAGUGCGAAUGCUGACAUAAGUAACGAUAAAGCGGGUGAAAAGCCCGCUCGCCGGAAGACCAAGGGUUCCUGUCCAACGUUAAUCGGGGCAGGGUGAGUCGACCCCUAAGGCGAGGCCGAAAGGCGUAGUCGAUGGGAAACGGGUUAAUAUUCCCGUACUUGGUGUUACUGCGAAGGGGGGACGGAGAAGGCUAUGUUGGCCGGGCGACGGUUGUCCCGGUUUAAGCGUGUAGGUGUGUGUUCCAGGUAAAUCCGGUUCACUUUAACACUGAGGCGUGAUGACGAGGCACUACGGUGCUGAAGCAACAAAUGCCCUGCUUCCAGGAAAAGUCUCUAAGCAUCAGGUAACAUCAAAUCGUACCCCAAACCGACACAGGUGGUCAGGUAGAGAAUACCAAGGCGCUUGAGAGAACUCGGGUGAAGGAACUAGGCAAAAUGGUGCCGUAACUUCGGGAGAAGGCACGCUGACACGUAGGUGAAGUGAUUUACUCAUGGAGCUGAAGUCAGUCGAAGAUACCAGCUGGCUGCAACUGUUUAUUAAAAACACAGCACUGUGCAAACACGAAAGUGGACGUAUACGGUGUGACGCCUGCCCGGUGCCGGAAGGUUAAUUGAUGGGGUCAGCGCAAGCGAAGCUCCUGAUCGAAGCCCCGGUAAACGGCGGCCGUAACUAUAACGGUCCUAAGGUAGCGAAAUUCCUUGUCGGGUAAGUUCCGACCUGCACGAAUGGCGUAAUGAUGGCCAGGCUGUCUCCACCCGAGACUCAGUGAAAUUGAACUCGCUGUGAAGAUGCAGUGUACCCGCGGCAAGACGGAAAGACCCCGUGAACCUUUACUAUAGCUUGACACUGAACAUUGAGCCUUGAUGUGUAGGAUAGGUGGGAGGCUUUGAAGCGUGGACGCCAGUCUGCAUGGAGCCGGCCUUGAAAUACCACCCUUUAAUGUUUGAUGUUCUAACGUGGACCCGUGAUCCGGGUUGCGGACAGUGUCUGGUGGGUAGUUUGACUGGGGCGGUCUCCUCCUAAAGAGUAACGGAGGAGCACGAAGGUUGGCUAAUCCUGGUCGGACAUCAGGAGGUUAGUGCAAUGGCAUAAGCCAGCUUGACUGCGAGCGUGACGGCGCGAGCAGGUGCGAAAGCAGGUCAUAGUGAUCCGGUGGUUCUGAAUGGAAGGGCCAUCGCUCAACGGAUAAAAGGUACUCCGGGGAUAACAGGCUGAUACCGCCCAAGAGUUCAUAUCGACGGCGGUGUUUGGCACCUCGAUGUCGGCUCAUCACAUCCUGGGGCUGAAGUAGGUCCCAAGGGUAUGGCUGUUCGCCAUUUAAAGUGGUACGCGAGCUGGGUUUAGAACGUCGUGAGACAGUUCGGUCCCUAUCUGCCGUGGGCGCUGGAGAACUGAGGGGGGCUGCUCCUAGUACGAGAGGACCGGAGUGGACGCAUCACUGGUGUUCGGGUUGUCAUGCCAAUGGCACUGCCCGGUAGCUAAAUGCGGAAGAGAUAAGUGCUGAAAGCAUCUAAGCACGAAACUUGCCCCGAGAUGAGUUCUCCCUGAGACUUAGAGUCUCCUGAAGGAACGUUGAAGACGACGACGUUGAUAGGCCGGGUGUGUAAGCGCAGCGAUGCGUUGAGCUAACCGGUACUAAUGAACCGUGAGGCUUAACCUUACAACGCCGAAG
rnacentral:rRNA from 1 species